UACGUAGGGUGCGAGCGUUGCCCGGAUUUAUUGGGCGUAAAGGGCGCGCAGGCGGUACGGCACGUCCGUUGUGAAAUCGCUCGGCUCAACUGGGCGGGGUCAGCGGAUACGGCCGCACUUGAGCAAGCUAGGGGGCAAUGGAAUUCCCGGUGUAGUGGUGGAAUGCGUAGAUAUCAGGAGGAACACCGGUGGUGUAAACGGCUUUCUGGACCGUAACUGACGCUGAUGCACGAAAGCGUGGGUAGCAAACAGG
rnacentral:rRNA from 1 species